GUGGGGAAUAUUGCGCAAUGGACGAAAGUCUGACGCAGCGACGCCGCGUGUGGGAUGAAGCCUUUCGGGGCGUAAACCACUGUUGCCCGGGACGAACAUCCCCUUUCGAGGGGACUGACGGUACCGGGUGAGGAAGCACCGGCUAACUCUGUGCCAGCAGCCGCGGUAAUACAGAGGGUGCGAGCGUUGUCCGGAAUCACUGGGCGUAAAGGGCGCGUAGGUGGCUUGGUAAGCGUGUGGUGAAAGUCCGGGGCUCAACCCCGGAUCUGCCGUGCGAACUGCUGAGCUCGAGCAAUGUAGAGGCAGGUGGAAUUUCGGGUGUAGCGGUGGAAUGCGUAGAUAUCCGAAAGAACACCAGUGGCGAAGGCGGCCUGCUGGGCAUUUGCUGACACUGAGGCGCGACAGCGUGGGGAGCAAACAGGAUUAGAAACCCCAGUAGUCC
rnacentral:rRNA from 1 species